rnacentral:rRNA from 1 species
AUUGAACGCUGGCGGCAUGCUUUACACAUGCAAGUCGAACGGCAGCACAGCAGAGGUAACUCUGUGGGUGGCGAGUGGCGAACGGGUGAGUAAUACAUCGGAACGUACCCUGUUGUGGGGGAUAACUACGCGAAAGCGUAGCUAACACCGCAUACGCCCUGAGGGGAAAGCGGGGGGACCCUAAAUAGAGCGCACUGGGGAGUGCGUUGUAUUUAGGGCCUCGCGCAAUAGGAGCGGCCGAUGUCGGAUUAGCUAGUUGGUGAGGUAAAGGCUUACCAAGGCGACGAUCCGUAGCUGGUCUGAGAGGAUGAUCAGCCACACUGGGACUGAGACACGGCCCAGACUCCUACGGGAGGCAGCAGUGGGGAAUUUUGGACAAAUGGGGGGCGAACCCCUGAUCCAGCCAUGCCGCGUGAGUGAAGAAGGCCUCGUGUAG